CGCCAUGAAAAAUUAAUUGGUUUGCAAUAAACCCCAUAUAUUUUAAUCAUGUGAACUGUUUUUAACUCUGUGAUUGAACUCGGAAUAUUAUGCAUGGCGUAUUAUGCCUCUCAAUUCCAAAAUGCAUUCUCAAUGCACUUAAAAUGUUUAAAACUAAAAACUACAACACUUGAUAAGUUUAAAAAUUUUAUUUGACUUUUUAUUAUAAAGUACAAAACAGGAAUGAGAUAAUAUGUACAUACAUUUAUGGAGGGAUUGAUUAAACAAUAAUAUGGUAACACAAUAGGUGUUAGGCUACUUGAUGCAAGUAGCUUUUGUAGACUCAAUUAUUUCCAUGAUUGAGGAAAACUUGUAUUUUCCAUGGAUAUUUGAUUCCAGGGUUUUGCCAAAUUUAACAUAUAAACAAACAGAAAACUUAUACAUCAUUAAACAUUCAAAUUCUUGGUUUAUUUUCAUCAACAAAAACAAUUUAAAGUUAAUCAAAUUGGUAAAAAUCUUUGAUGUUGAUCAAUUAAGGAGCAAUUCUAUUUGGUAUAAUUGAAAUUUAAAAAGAACUUAUUUGGUCUACCUUAUAAUUUUACUGUAUAUAAUGCAAGAAAGUUUUAAGGUGGCUCGGGACUAUUCGAAGUUUCUAUCAGAAGUGCUGUGUUUUUGGUUAUUUUAUUCAUUAAAGAAAAUGAAUCAAAUUGGUCGAAAAAAAAUAGGGGGUCACGGACCAUUUAAGAUCAAAAUUUUACUUUUAAACAGGUAUGUAAAUGGGACCAUUUUUCAAUGAAAUGAUAGGGAAAAUACAGGUGUUACAUAUUUUUAUCGGAAUAUCAAAAAAACGUUCUAUGACAAUUUGUCCAAAACUGUUAUAUGAAAAGCUGAAUAUAGCUUCAAAGAAUGAGCCAAUAAAAAACAUAGGUCACCGAUAAGGAAAAAAAAAUAUUUUGCCUUAAAACCCAAAUUUUGGCGGGAAAAUGGUAAAAAUGGGUGAAAUGUCAUUUUGACCAUUUAACAAAUACGUAUAAUAACGAAAAUGUUCUAUAAGUCACAUAACUACAAUGAUUUAACAUUUCUAAUCAAUCAAAAUUAUUAAAAAAAAUAUAUCGAAUUUACGACAAAUACUUUUGUAAUUCAUGCGCGAAAUUAUGCGCAGUCGAAUAGUCCCGAGCCACCUUAAAGAAUUGUGUAUUUUGAAAAAAAAUCUCUAUCAGAUCAAAUUUGAAUAGCAUAAAAUGUGCAUCUCUUUCAAUAUUAGCUUAAUUUACUUGUUUUAGUGGAUUUUUAAGAGUUGUUUUCAACCAUUAUAUUUUAGAAAAAUUUCCCAACAAAUAAAUAUUUUUAAAAAUCAAUUGAAUCAAACCUUUAUUGGAACAUUUUCCAUUUUUUUGAUAAAAAUUUGACAAAAGAAUAUACAGCCGAAAAAACAAUAGGAAAACAGAUACUUUAUGAAAAUGUACAACUAGAAUGAAAAUAUGUGAUUACUUCCCCUUGUAAUAUCUGAACAAAAAGACAGAGACUGAGUUGAACACAUGAGACAAUCUGACAUACAGUAGCACUUUUAGCACUGUUAUUUCACUUUUAUAUAAGCAAACACUUAUACUAACAAUCAUAUGAAAUCUAUCCUAACCAUGCAUUUGAAAAUAUUUAUCUUAAGUAUGAUAAUUAUUGAUUAUGAUAUAAAAAUAAUUUAUUCCUUAUUUACAUUUUUUACAUACUUGUAAUUGUAGAGGAAGACGAUUUACCAAUGGAAGUGAUAUUUUGGAUUAGCUUAACACUCUAACUACAAAUGUACCUACUUUCUAUUCAUUCAAAAAUAAAAUUAAAAUCAAAUGAAAAUAAAUCAAUGUUGAUUGAAAUGCCAAGGAUAAAAUGCCUAUAUAUGUGGCCUAACUAUUUUGAGAUUUUUCAUUUUUUUAAUAUUUUCAGUUGCAUAUUUUAAUGAAUUUGAUAAAUGUAAAAGGUUUAUAGAUUAAU
rnacentral:lncRNA from 1 species